rnacentral:lncRNA from 1 species
GUUAAGGUGUAGAUAACGACUUCUGCAUUGUGAAAGCUGCCUGCUUUGCUCAACUUUUCAUCUUUUCCCUUUUGCAGCUGGCCCGUUCCCUCGCAGCAGUGAUUGUGCACUUGGCAGGAGCCCGGCGGAGGCGCUCCAGCAGUUUGCUGAUGCAGAAUUCUCUUUGCAUUAAAUGGGAACGUUAUCUGACUUCAGUAAACAUGGUGCCAUUGAAACACGCUGACUUGCCCGCUCGUUUCCAAAGAUGGACUUGGUCAGCUGGUGGCAAUUCUGGCCAUUCCACCUGGACAGCACCAGUAUGGAUGCGGAUGGGGACAGCCAAGGCCCCUCACAUUGAUGCUGUUGGUCACUGUGCUAAUGCUCCAAGUCCUGGGUCGCGGUGUGAUGCCACCUCUCCUUCAAGCUGCUUAGAGCUGCCACUCCUGCAACUCCAGUGGGUGCCGGGAGCUCAGGGUGCCUCUGAAUGCCCACGGCUCUUCAAAACAUUAAUUACAGCUCACAGAAAGUACAAAGACUUAUGACUGAAAGAGGAAGUUAAGCUGAACAGCCCUGCAUGCCUGCCACCUGGGUGCUCUCCUGUUCCUCACACCUGUUCAGUUUAAUCCUGAAGUUACCCGAGCCUCUGCUGCUUUCAUUUUGCUGGCUGUGAACAGGAGGAGGUAAUUAGGGCCCAGUGGGAAACCUGCAGGCUGAGAAGCAGUGACUGCCACCACCCAUCUUCCCUUCCACAUCCCUCGAGCUGAGAACACCGCUGACCCUUCAGCUCCGUUUGAAGUGCAGCGUUUCCUCCUCUGGGAGAGGUCACUUUGCUUGGGAAGAGAAAUCCCACAUUAAAAAUGUGAAAGCAAAGGGUGUGUCCUCAUGGAAAGGGUUUGGCUCCAUCCAGUCUGAGGACCCUCCUUACCUCAGUGGGAAAGUUAUUUAUAGGCUGGGAGUCAGCGCUGCAGGAAAGAAACGCUGCGCAUCCUGCAUGCAAGCAAGGCAGGGGCUGUUGCAGCAGCAGGCCCUGUGCAGGGGAGGGGAGCAGGGAAAAGUACUGCACUAAAGGUCUGAUUCCUACUCAGCUGUGAGAGCUCAUAGCAGCUGUAUUAAGCUCACCGUACCUGCACCAGGG